rnacentral:rRNA from 1 species
AUUAGACGAAUCAUCUGGAAAGAUGAAUCAAAGAAGGUAAUAAUCCUGUAGUCGAAAAUGUUGUCUCUCUUGAGUGGAUCCUGAGUACGACGGAGCACGUGAAAUUCCGUCGGAAUCUGGGAGGACCAUCUCCUAAGGCUAAAUACUCUCUAGUGACCGAUAGUGAACCAGUACCGUGAGGGAAAGGUGAAAAGCACCCCGGAAGGGGAGUGAAAUAGAACCUGAAACCGUGUGCUUACAAGUAGUCAGAGCCCGUUAAUGGGUGAUGGCGUGCCUUUUGUAGAAUGAACCGGCGAGUUACGAUUUGAUGCAAGGUUAAGCAGUAAAUGUGGAGCCGUAGCGAAAGCGAGUCUGAAUAGGGCGUUUAGUAUUUGGUCGUAGACCCGAAACCAGGUGAUCUACCCUUGGUCAGGUUGAAGUUCAGGUAACACUGAAUGGAGGACCGAACCGACUUACGUUGAAAAGUGAGCGGAUGAACUGAGGGUAGCGGAGAAAUUCCAAUCGAACCUGGAGAUAGCUGGUUCUCUCCGAAAUAGCUUUAGGGCUAGCCUCAAGUGAUGAUUAUUGGAGGUAGAGCACUGUUUGGACGAGGGGCCCCUCUCGGGUUACCGAAUUCAGACAAACUCCGAAUGCCAAUUAAUUUAACUUGGGAGUCAGAACAUGGGUGAUAAGGUCCGUGUUCGAAAGGGAAACAGCCCAGACCACCAGCUAAGGUCCCAAAAUAUAUGUUAAGUGGAAAAGGAUGUGGCGUUGCCCAGACAACUAGGAUGUUGGCUUAGAAGCAGCCAUCAUUUAAAGAGUGCGUAAUAGCUCACUAGUCGAGUGACACUGCGCCGAAAAUGUACCGGGGCUAAACAUAUUACCGAAGCUGUGGAUUGUCCUUUGGACAAUGGUAGGAGAGCGUUCUAAGGGCGUUGAAGCAUGAUCGUAAGGACAUGUGGAGCGCUUAGAAGUGAGAAUGCCGGUGUGAGUAGCGAAAGACGGGUGAGAAUCCCGUCCACCGAUUGACUAAGGUUUCCAGAGGAAGGCUCGUCCGCUCUGGGUUAGUCGGGUCCUAAGCUGAGGCCGACAGGCGUAGGCGAUGGAUAACAGGUUGAUAUUCCUGUACCACCUAUAAUCGUUUUAAUCGAUGGGGGGACGCAGUAGGAUAGGCGAAGCGUGCGAUUGGAUUGCACGUCUAAGCAGUAAGGCUGAGUAUUAGGCAAAUCCGGUACUCGUUAAGGCUGAGCUGUGAUGGGGAGAAGACAUUGUGUCUUCGAGUCGUUGAUUUCACACUGCCGAGAAAAGCCUCUAGAUAGAAAAUAGGUGCCCGUACCGCAAACCGACACAGGUAGUCAAGAUGAGAAUUCUAAGGUGAGCGAGCGAACUCUCGUUAAGGAACUCGGCAAAAUGACCCCGUAACUUCGGGAGAAGGGGUGCUCUUUAGGGUUAACGCCCAGAAGAGCCGCAGUGAAUAGGCCCAAGCGACUGUUUAUCAAAAACACAGGUCUCUGCUAAACCGUAAGGUGAUGUAUAGGGGCUGACGCCUGCCCGGUGCUGGAAGGUUAAGAGGAGUGGUUAGCUUCUGCGAAGCUACGAAUCGAAGCCCCAGUAAACGGCGGCCGUAACUAUAACGGUCCUAAGGUAGCGAAAUUCCUUGUCGGGUAAGUUCCGACCCGCACGAAAGGCGUAACGAUUUGGGCACUGUCUCAACGAGAGACUCGGUGAAAUCAUAGUACCUGUGAAGAUGCAGGUUACCCGCGACAGGACGGAAAGACCCCGUGGAGCUUUACUGUAGCCUGAUAUUGAAAUUCGGCACAGCUUGUACAGGAUAGGUAGGAGCCUUUGAAACGUGAGCGCUAGCUUACGUGGAGGCGCUGGUGGGAUACUACCCUAGCUGUGUUGGCUUUCUAACCCGCACCACUUAUCGUGGUGGGAGACAGUGUCAGGCGGGCAGUUUGACUGGGGCGGUCGCCUCCUAAAAGGUAACGGAGGCGCUCAAAGGUUCCCUCAGAAUGGUUGGAAAUCAUUCAUAGAGUGUAAAGGCAUAAGGGAGCUUGACUGCGAGACCUACAAGUCGAGCAGGGUCGAAAGACGGACUUAGUGAU